rnacentral:lncRNA from 1 species
AAAGUCACAGAAAUUAAUAGAUUGCCGUAAACUUUUCUUUGUAGUCAUUCAAAGUGCCUGUACUCCUUGACUGAUUCUCAUUUUACUAUCAUGAAAACUUGGAUAGCAUUUUAUUUUUUUAUGGGGAUUUUUCAUUUUUCUUUUUCUUUUUCUUUUUUUUUUGGUCUUUUUAGGACCACACCUCCUGGGAACCUCCAUAUGUCAUGGGAGCAGCCCUAGAAAAGGCAAAAAGAUGAAAAAAUUAAAUAAAUAAAUAAAAAUAUAUAAGAACCUUAAAAUAGUGUAGUGUUUGUGCUACUGUUAUACAUUUUACUUCUACUAAUAAUAUAAAUCCCUCAGUACAUUAUUAUUACUUUUACUUAAAUAAGUUAUUUUAAAAGACAUGUUAAAAUAAGGGGAGAAUGCUAUGUUUACUUACUACUUACCAUUUUCGAUGCUCUCUUUUCAUUCCUUUGAGUGGAGCUAGAUAUCCACAUGGUAUCAUUUUCUUCUACCUAAACCUUCCCUUUAAUGUUGUUUCAUAGUAAGGUCUACUGAUGAUGACUUCUUUCGGCUUUUGUGUCUUGAGAAAGUAAUUUCACCCCAUUUUUUCCAAAGUUUUUAUUUAAGGUAAAAUGCAUUUAACAUGAAUUUUAAAGUGUAUAGCAUUUAGCACAUUCAUGAGGUUUUGGAAACAUUACCUCUAUCUAGUUCCAAGACAUUUUCAUCCUAAAUUCACUUCCAUUUUUGAAAUAUAUUUUUGCUACGUAGAUAAUUUUGAUGAGAUUUGUUUUUUUUUUCUAUAAUUUUAAGAUGUUUCACUGUCUUCUGGCUUGUGUUGUUUCCAGUGAGAAGUCUGAUGUCAUUCUCCUCUUUGUUCCUCUGUAUGUAAUGUGCCCCACAACCCUGAGAUAAUAAAGAUUUUCUUUUUAUCAUAGAUUUUAAGCAAUUUAUUACGAUGUCCCUUGGUGUAGUUUCUUCAUGUUUCUUUGUGCUUCAGGUUCGUCGGGCUUCUUGGGUCUCCAGGUUGAGGAUAUUAUCCAAAUUGUAAAUUUUCCAAUGAUAAUUUCUUCAAAUAUUUUUCCAUUCUUACCAUUUUUUGAGGACUUUGAUUGUGUAUAUGUUAGGCUACUUGAAGUUGUUCCAUAAUAAUUAUACUAAUAUUCUAUUUCUUCAGUGUUUUUUUCCCCUCUGUGCUUCACUUUGAGUAUGCUUCAUCCUCAUAUUAGCUAGUUUUCUUUCCUUCUGCAGUAUUUAAUUUGCUGCUCAUUUCAUCCAGUAUAUUUUUCAUCUCCAGAAGAUUGAUUUGGGACUUUCAUAUAUCUUCAAGUCUCUCUUUAACAAGCUUAUGCUUUUCUCUGCCUACUUGAACAUGUGGACUAUCAUUAUAAUAACUAUUUUAAUGUCUUUGUCCACUAGCCCUAUCAUCUAUGACAUUUCUGGGUCUCAUUCUGUUGAUUGCUUUUUCUGCUCAUUAUGGAUUUUGCUUCUCUCAAUGUUAGAUAUUUAGAGUCUUAGUUGGUUGAGCGCUGAAUAUUUUUGCAUUCUUUUGAAUAUUCUUGUAGAAGGGAGUAAUGAAAGAAGUAGGAUAUUUUCUAAUAUUUAUAUAGAGAUAAUAACUUGUGUAAUUAUAAUGCUUAUCUCAGGGGGGUGAGGAAGUAGAAUGUAUUUUAGCAUGACAGUAAUGGAGAUUUGUAACUUCAUUUGAAUUAUGAAUUGGUCACU